rnacentral:rRNA from 1 species
UUGCCCCUACGAGGCGCAGCAGUGGGGAAUAUUGCACAAUGGGGGAAACCCUGAUGCAGCGACGCCGCGUGUGUGAAGAAGUAUUUCGGUAUGUAAAGCUCUAUCAGCAGGGAAGAAAAUGACGGUACCUGACUAAGAAGCCCCGGCUAACUACGUGCCAGCAGCCGCGGUAAUACGUAGGGGGCAAGCGUUAUCCGGAUUUACUGGGUGUAAAGGGAGCGUAGGCGGCAAGAUAAGCCAGAAGUGAAAGCCCGCGGCUCAACUGCGGGACUGCUUUUGGAACUAUCUAGCUAGAUUGCAGGAGG